CAAAGACAUGCCCAAAUCAGCUACAUGGGGUUGUCAGACGUUACAUCAUAACACAUUCUAUAAUUCUAGUAUCUCAGUACGUCAACAUCAAAGCGCCGCUCAUCUAAACCAUGAUCUAUUCUAAA